rnacentral:rRNA from 1 species
GACGAACGCUGGCGGCGUGCUUAACACAUGCAAGUCGAACGGAAAGACCCUGCUUUUGUGGGGUGCUCGAGUGGCGAACGGGUGAGUAACACGUGAGUAACCUGCCCUUGACUUUGGGAUAACUUCAGGAAACUGGGGCUAAUACCGGAUAGGAGCUCCUGCUGCAUGGUGGGGGUUGGAAAGUUUCGGCGGUUGGGGAUGGACUCGCGGCUUAUCAGCUUGUUGGUGGGGUAGUGGCUUACCAAGGCUUUGACGGGUAGCCGGCCUGAGAGGGUGACCGGCCACAUUGGGACUGAGAUACGGCCCAGACUCCUACGGGAGGCAGCAGUGGGGAAUAUUGCACAAUGGGCGGAAGCCUGAUGCAGCAACGCCGCGUGCGGGAUGACGGCCUUCGGGUUGUAAACCGCUUUCGCCUGCGACGAAGCGUGAGUGACGGUAAUGGGUAAAGAGGCACCGGCUAACUACGUG